AUGCUGGACUACCUACAGAGACUUUACAGAAACGGCGCUGAGCUCUGUUCGUGGUUCAGGUGGGACCGGCAGUGGGUGGUGGUGAACGCCAAGGGCAGGGCCCUCACGCAGCGGGUGGAGCCCAGGAUGGCGCUGAUGGAGGUGGAGUUGCCGCCGGCGGCCUUCGACGAGGACUGGCAGCCCGCCCCCCACUCCUGCUUGGUUAUACGAGCACCCGGGAUGGACACACUGAAGGUCCCUCUUGCUGCGGAACACACCACGCUUGACGACGUCUCCGUCUGGGAGUGGUCUGGUUCUGCUUAUGAUGAAGGAGCUGAAGCAGCUGAAUGGCUCUCCGCCUAUUUCGGGAAGCCAAGUCGGCUCGUGCGGUUUAAAGAAGAGUCCGAAAUCAGGCCGACUAAUCCUGAGUAUGCUCAAGGCUACAAGAUCACCUUCACGGAUUGCUUCCCGUUUCUGAUAGCAUCCCAGGGCUCACUGGAUGCACAAAAUGAGCUUCUUAAAGAACAUGUACCAAUCAAUCGCUUUAGACCAAAUAUUUUAGUGGAUGGAUGCCACCCGUACGUAGAGGAUCUGUGGAAAACCAUAAAGAUAAACAAGCUAACAUUUGACGGCGUGAAGUUAUGCGACCGUUACAAGGUAAAAUUCCCAGAUCUGGUGCUGCGGUUGAGUAUGCUUGCUACUAUCCUAUCUUGA
rnacentral:rRNA from 1 species